UACAGAGGGUGCGAGCGUUAAUCGGAAUUACUGGGCGGAAAGCGCACGUAGGUGGCGACGUAAGUCGGGUGUGAAAGCCCCGGGCUCAACCUGGGAAUUGCAUUCGAGACUGCAUUGCUGGAGUACGGAAGAGGAGGGCGGAAUUCCCGGUGUAGCGGUGAAAUGCGUAGAUAUCGGGAGGAACAUCAGUGGCGAAGGCCGCCCUCUGGUCCAGUACUGACACUCAAGUGCGAAAGCGUGGGAAGCAAACAGG
rnacentral:rRNA from 1 species